rnacentral:lncRNA from 1 species
ACUUGGGGAUCGAGCAACUGGAGAUGAGUUCAGCUCUGUAAUGACAGCGUGACCUUAGGUGAGUCACUUGCCCUCUCUGAGCUGUCCUUUGCGCCUGGCCCUGCUUUCUGCCUGUAGUCACCAGAAUCAGGCAGACAGACAACUUUUACAGAAAGGAGAAAGAUUCCGGUGUCGUUGUGUGCUGAGAGCCUCCUUUUCUCACGCAGUCUGAGCUCAGCCGGAAGUGCUCAUCGUCUCCUCUGGUUCCUUCUCUCUGCAUUAAAUUCCCCUCACAAUGUACUGUGAACCCCAAGUGUGAGAAUCAUUUUAUCUUUCUUUGGCAGGGCAGUUGUGCACCCCUGGACUCCUAUUCUAUAGGAGACAGACAGUGCUGGGUGGUGAAGCUGGGACUCAGCAAGGGCAUGGUGACCAUGGAGUCCGUGAAGCCCCUCCCACCUGCUCCUUCUCAGAACGUCAGGCUCUGGGCAGCAAGAGAAAGAAACUAGGAGAUGCUCUUAUCCUUCUCUGGGGACAUCACUCUGGGCCACGGCCAGGGUGUCCAGCUGUGAAGAGCCUAAGGACCACAGGAGAAACUUCUUAGACAGGUGACCAUCACCCCAAGACCUGCCAGCCCAGGUACAUCCAUGCGAGUGCGGGAAGCAGCUUGGAUAGUGUAGCUCUGGAGGGAUGGAAAGAGCUGAGGAGUCAGGCAACAAAGAGACUGGAGGCUGUGCACCUGCCAUCCGCAGUUCUGCAGCCUCUGGUGCAAACAUGACACUGAGACACAAGCUGUGCUCCAUGACACAACCUCCAGCCAGUCACAGUGUGCCGGCUGGCUCCGAGUGCAGACCUACUACUCUUCAAGUGGCCUUGGUCGGGUUCACCUGCUACCAGAUAUCUGAAGGCAGAGAUUCCAAGCUUGUGUUGUCCUGGGCAUCCCAUGGCUGAAGACCCCAGACCUUUCCAUGAUGAAGAGGACUCAGUCUCUUCAAGACUCAGUCUCAGUCAAGAGAAACAACAUCUAAUAUUAAAAACAUGAACCUUAGUUGUGGUGGUUUGAGUAAGAAUGGCUUCAUAGACUAAUGUAUUUGAAUUCUUGGUCAUCAGGGAGUGACAUUAGGAGGCGUGGCUUUGAUAGAGUAGGUGUGGACCUAUUGGAGGAAGUGUACCACUGUAGGUGGGCACAGGGGUUUAAAAUGUUCAAGUUAGGCCCUAAGCUCUCUCCCUGCCGCUUGUGGAUCCAGAUGUAGAACUUGCAGCUCCCUCUAUAGCACUAUGUCUGUCUGCAUACUGACAUAUUUUCCACUCUGCUGAUGACGGACUGAACCGCUGAUCUGUAAGCCAGCUCCAAUGAAAUGUUGUCCUUUAUACA